rnacentral:rRNA from 1 species
GAUGAACGCUAGCUACAGGCUUAACACAUGCAAGUCGAGGGGAAACGACAUCGAAAGCUUGCUUUUGAUGGGCGUCGACCGGCGCACGGGUGAGUAACGCGUAUCCAACCUGCCCACCACUUGGGGAUAACCUUGCGAAAGUAAGACUAUACCCAAUAAUAUCUCUAGAAGACAUCUGAAAGAGAUUAAAGAUUUAUCGGUGAUGGAUGGGGAUGCGUCUGAUUAGCUUGUUGGCGGGGUAACGGCCCACCAAGGCUACGAUCAGUAGGGGUUCUGAGAGGAAGGUCCCCCACAUUGGAACUGAGACACGGUCCAAACUCCUACGGGAGGCAGCAGUGAGGAAUAUUGGUCAAUGGGCGAGAGCCUGAACCAGCCAAGUAGCGUGCAGGAUGACGGCCCUAUGGGUUGUAAACUGCUUUUAUAAGGGAAUAAAGUGAGCCUCGUGAGGCUUUUUGCAUGUACCUUAUGAAUAAGGACCGGCUAAUUCCGUGCCAGCCGCCGCAGUAA